rnacentral:tRNA from 2 species
GGGCGCGUAACUCAGUGGCUAGAGUGUCACCUUCACACGGUGGAAGUCACAGGUUCAAAUCCUGUCGCGCCCA